CGGGCCCGCGGCCUGCGGCCAUUGCUGGCCCUGCCCAUCGAGGGUGAGGGACCCGACAGCGAGGGCGAGGAGUGGUUCGAGCAGAACUGUGGGGCGGCCCUGGAGUGUGUGGGGCUGGCGGCCGCCUCGGGGCCCGAGCCCGCCAUGCAGCUGAAGAUAACGGCGCUGGUCAGCCAGAGGCUCUGCGAGAAAAUCUCUCUCCGAUUGGCCGAGCCGGAAGGGGCGGGGCUUAACCCAGAACAGGUGGCGGCCAUGUUGGGCGGCCAGGCGCCGGGGCUCACCUGGCUCAGCCCGGAGGAGAACGAGCACCUGGGGCGGGGCCUGAGGAGGCUGGAACGGGUGGCACAGG